CGUUCGGAGAUUACCUCUAUCAUUAUCUACACUGCGUAUGUAAUGGGUAUGUAAUUGUUGA
rnacentral:ncRNA from 1 species